rnacentral:rRNA from 1 species
UACGUAGGGUGCAAGCGUUGUCCGGAAUUAUUGGGCGUAAAGAGCUCGUAGGCGGUUUGUCGCGUCUGCUGUGAAAACUCAGGGCUUAACCCUGAGCCUGCAGUGGGUACGGGCAGACUAGAGUGUGGUAGGGGAGAUCGGAAUUCCUGGUGUAGCGGUGGAAUGCGCAGAUAUCAGGAGGAACACCGGUGGCGAAGGCGGGUCUCGUGGGCAAUGAACUGACGCUGGAGGAGCGAAAGCGUGGGGAGCGAACAGGAUUAG